CAUCAGGAUUUAUGCACGAGGAGCAAAAAGAGGAAUGUAGAAGUCAUACCUACCAUAACUGCUUGGCUUCAGACUCCAUCGUUAAGGUGAAGCUCUUUUAUUGAUGAUUGACCGACUUGAUUCGAUCGGAGCUCCACUCUUCUUCUGUUUCUUCUUUUGACAUUUUUCUUCUAUCUGACGUCGGUCAGAAGUAGCUGUAUGCAUUUU
rnacentral:lncRNA from 1 species